GAAUGAAAAUUUUUAUUGCAGGAAAAUGAAAUUUCUCGACUGGCGUACUUACAUGAAGAACUUCAAAAUAAAAUUGAAGAAUGUGAUAGUUUGAAGAAACAACUUACUGUUGCACGUUGUAAAGGUAGCAAGAUGUCACUUAUGCCUGAUUUUUCGUCAGAAUCUUCAAGAAUUGUUCCUGAAAAGAUGAAAGAAACGCGUCUGAAAGAAGAACGUUUUCAAUUGGAAGAAAUCAUUUCAGACACUUCCAGUUCAGGUAGUGAAGGUGACAGCGAUGAUCCUGACUGGAGACUUACUCCGUUUCACAAAAGAGUAAAAAAAAAUGU